AUUGAACGCUGGCGGCAUGCCUUACACAUGCAAGUCGAACGGCAGCACGGACUUCGGUCUGGUGGCGAGUGGCGAACGUGUGAGUAAUAUAUCGGGACAUACCUUGUAGUGGGGGAUAACUAUCUGAAAGGAUAGCUAAUACCGCAUACGCUCUCAGGAGGAAAUCGGGGGAUCGUAGGACCUCGUGCUAUAAGAGUGGCCGAUAUCUGAUUAGCGAGUUGGUGAGGUAAAGGCUCACCAAGGCGACGAUCAGUAGCUGGUCUGAGAGGACGACAUGCCACACUGGACCUGAGACACGGCCCAGACUCCUACGGGAGGCAGCAGUGGGGAAUAUUGGACAAUGGGGGGAACCCUGAUCCAGCCAUGCCGCGUGUGUGAAGAAGGCCUUUUGGUUGUAAAGCACUUUAAGCGAGGAGGAGGCUCUUCUAGUUAAUACCUAGGAUGAGUGGACGUUACUCGCAGAAUAAGCACCGGCUAACUCUGUGCCAGCCGCCGCCGUAACAC
rnacentral:rRNA from 1 species